rnacentral:rRNA from 1 species
AACGUAGGAGACAAACGUUAUCCGGAGUUACUGGGCGUAAAGGGCGUGUAGGUGGUUACGUAAGUCAGACGUGAAAUCCCUCGGCUUAACCGGGGAACUGCGUCUGAUACUGGAUGGCUAGAGUUUGGGAGAGGGAUGCGGAAUUCCAGGUGUAGCGGUGAAAUGCGUAGAUAUCUGGAGGAACACCGGUGGCGAAGGCGGCAUCCUGGACCAACACUGACGCUGAGGAGCGAAAGCCAGGGGAGCAAACGGG